rnacentral:rRNA from 1 species
UACGUAGGGUGCGAGCGUUGCCCGGAUUUAUUGGGCGUAAAGGGCGCGUAGGCGGUGUGUCGCGUCGGCUGUGAAAACCUGGGGCUCAACCCUGGGCUUGCAGCUGAUACGGGCAGACUGGAGUUCGGCAGGGGAGACUGGAAUUCCUGGUGUAGCGGUGAAAUGCGCAGAUAUCAGGAGGAACACCGGCGGUGUAGACGGCUUUCUGGACCGUAGCUGACGCUGAGACACGAAAGCGUGGGUAGCAAACAGG